ensembl:snRNA U6 U6 spliceosomal RNA
GUGCUCGCUUCAACAGCACACAUACUAAAAUUGGAAUUACACAGAGAAGAUUAGCAUGACCCUGCACAAGGAUGAAGAGUAGGUUUUAAAUUUUU